rnacentral:rRNA from 2 species
GAAUGCUGACAUAAGUAACGAUAAAGCGGGUGAAAAGCCCGCUCGCCGGAAGACCAAGGGUUCCUGUCCAACGUUAAUCGGGGCAGGGUGAGUCGACCCCUAAGGCGAGGCCGAAAGGCGUAGUCGAUGGGAAACGGGUUAAUAUUCCCGUACUUGGUGUUACUGCGAAGGGGGGACGGAGAAGGCUAUGUUGGCCGGGCGACGGUUGUCCCGGUUUAAGCGUGUAGGUGUGUGUUCCAGGUAAAUCCGGUUCACUUUAACACUGAGGCGUGACGACGAGGCACUACGGUGCUGAAGCAACAAAUGCCCUGCUUCCAGGAAAAGCCUCUAAGCAUCAGGUAACAUCAAAUCGUACCCCAAACCGACACAGGUGGUCAGGUAGAGAAUACCAAGGCGCUUGAGAGAACUCGGGUGAAGGAACUAGGCAAAAUGGUGCCGUAACUUCGGGAGAAGGCACGCUGACACGUAGGUGAAGUGAUUUACUCAUGGAGCUGAAGUCAGUCGAAGAUACCAGCUGGCUGCAACUGUUUAUUAAAAACACAGCACUGUGCAAACACGAAAGUGGACGUAUACGGUGUGACGCCUGCCCGGUGCCGGAAGGUUAAUUGAUGGGGUCAGCGCAAGCGAAGCUCCUGAUCGAAGCCCCGGUAAACGGCGGCCGUAACUAUAACGGUCCUAAGGUAGCGAAAUUCCUUGUCGGGUAAGUUCCGACCUGCACGAAUGGCGUAAUGAUGGCCAGGCUGUCUCCACCCGAGACUCAGUGAAAUUGAACUCGCUGUGAAGAUGCAGUGUACCCGCGGCAAGACGGAAAGACCCCGUGAACCUUUACUAUAGCUUGACACUGAACAUUGAGCCUUGAUGUGUAGGAUAGGUGGGAGGCUUUGAAGUGUGGACGCCAGUCUGCAUGGAGCCGACCUUGAAAUACCACCCUUUAAUGUUUGAUGUUCUAACGUGGACCCGUUACCCGGGUUGCGGACAGUGUCUGGUGGGUAGUUUGACUGGGGCGGUCUCCUCCUAAAGAGUAACGGAGGAGCACGAAGGUUGGCUAAUCCUGGUCGGACAUCAGGAGGUUAGUGCAAUGGCAUAAGCCAGCUUGACUGCGAGCGUGACGGCGCGAGCAGGUGCGAAAGCAGGUCAUAGUGAUCCGGUGGUUCUGAAUGGAAGGGCCAUCGCUCAACGGAUAAAAGGUACUCCGGGGAUAACAGGCUGAUACCGCCCAAGAGUUCAUAUCGACGGCGGUGUUUGGCACCUCGAUGUCGGCUCAUCACAUCCUGGGGCUGAAGUAGGUCCCAAGGGUAUGGCUGUUCGCCAUUUAAAGUGGUACGCGAGCUGGGUUUAGAACGUCGUGAGACAGUUCGGUCCCUAUCUGCCGUGGGCGCUGGAGAACUGAGGGGGGCUGCUCCUAGUACGAGAGGACCGGAGUGGACGCAUCACUGGUGUUCGGGUUGUCAUGCCAAUGGCACUGCCCGGUAGCUAAAUGCGGAAGAGAUAAGUGCUGAAAGCAUCUAAGCACGAAACUUGCCCCGAGAUGAGUUCUCCCUGAGACUUAAAGUCUCCUGAAGGAACGUUGAAGACGACGACGUUGAU